rnacentral:rRNA from 1 species
AUGGAGAUGGUGGAGAAGCUAUCUCUCACCACAAGACCACAUCCACAUCCUUACUACAUCCAAUGGUUCAACAACAGCGGCAAGGUUAAGGUAACACGUACUGUUCGUGUGCAUUUUAGUAUCUCUACCUAUACUGAUUAUGUUGAUUGUGAUGUGGUACCCAUGCAAGCAUGUUCCUUAUUACUAGGUAGACCAUGGCAAUUUGAUAAAAAUUCUGUACACCAUGGUAGAAACAAUCAGUAUACUCUUGUUCAUAAGGAUAAAAAUAUUACUUUGCUUCCUAUGACUCCUGAUUCCAUUUUGAAAGAUGACAUUAAUAGAGCUAAUAAAGCAAAACAGGAGAAAAAUAAGAGUGAAAAUCAGAUUGUGGCAAAGGAAUUUGAGCAACAAAUGAAACCUAAUAAUAAACCAUCUAGUGUUGUUUCUGAAAUUAAAUUGAAAAGUGCAUGUUUACUUGCCACAAAAUCUGAUAUUGAUGAACUAGAUUUCAGCAAAUCUGUUUGCUAUGCUUUUGUGUGCAAAGAGGCAUUAUUUUCAUUCGAGGACGUGCCUUCCUCUUUGCCCCCUGCUGUCACUAACAUUUUGCAGGAGUUCGCUGACGUCUUCCCACAAGACGUGCCACCGGGAUUACCACCUAUUCGAGGGAUUGAGCAUCAAAUUGACUUAAUUCCCGGUGCAUCGCUACCCAACCGUGCACCAUACCGUACCAAUCCAGAGGAGACGAAGGAGAUUAUGCGUCAAGUACAGGAGUUGCUCGACAAAGGUUAUAUACGCGAAUCUCUUAGUCCUUGUGCUGUUCCUAUUAUACUAGUUCCUAAAAAGGAUGGUACGUCGCGUAUGUGUGUUGAUUGUAGAGGCAUUAAUAAUAUUACUAUUCGUUAUCGUCAUCCUAUUCCUAGGCUAGAUGAUAUGCUUGAUGAAUUGAGUGGCUCUACAAUAUUCUCCAAAGUUGAUUUGCGUAGUGGAUACCAUCAAAUUCGUAUGAAAUUGGGAGAUGAAUGGAAAACUGCAUUUAAAACUAAGUUUGGUUUAUAUGAGUGGUUAGUCAUGCCUUUUGGGUUAACUAAUGCACCUAGUACUUUCAUGAGACUAAUGAACGAAGUUUUACGUGCUUUCAUUGGACGAUUUGUGGUAGUCUAUUUUGAUGAUAUACUGAUUUAUAGCAAAUCUUUGGAAGAACAUUUAGAACAUUUACGUGCUGUUUUUAUUGCUCUACGUGAUGCACGUUUGUUUGGUAACCUUGGGAAGUGCACCUUUUGCACCGACCGAGUAUCUUUUCUUGGCUAUGUUGUUACUCCACAGGGAAUUGAAGUUGAUAUAGCCAAGAUUGAAGCUAUUCAGAGUUGGCCGCAGCCCAAAACGGUCACACAAGUGCGGAGUUUUCUUGGACUCGCUGGUUUCUAUAGGCGUUUUGUGAGAGAUUUUAGCACCAUUGCUGCACCUCUCAACGAGCUUACAAAGAAGGAUGUGCCUUUUGUUUGGGUACCGCACAGGAAGAAGCCUUCACGGUAUUGA